GUCUACGGCCAUGCCACCCUGAACAAGCCCGAUCCCGUCUGAUCUCAGAAGCGAGGCAGGGUCAGGCCUGGUUAGUACUUGGAUGGGAGACCACCUAGGAAGACCAGGUGCUGUAGGAA
rnacentral:rRNA from 1 species